CUCGAGGUCCAGUUAAGCGGUCCAGCAACUCCGAAGGACUCGCUGGAAAGUCCUGCACACCAAGCUUGCCCCUUCUGCAUAGCUCGGGAUUUUCCAAAUGCAGACCAAGAGGGAUUGAGCUCUCCUCUACCCUGCCUGGCCCAGAAGUUCCAUUUCCUACCUCCUUCUAGCAGGGGAGCAGGGGCCUUCCUUGGUGGCCCCCAGGAUGGCCCUAUCUCAGAAAGACACAACCACGACUUCUCUGUAUAAUAGACACCACCACACAGUAAGUAGUGGGAGGAUGGGGUGGGGAGGGACUUUUAUUUGUCCUUUAGGCCCUUAACCCAUGGCAUGACUCUGAUGGUUAAGGACAGCCUGGGACAAGUCCAGUGAGAUUAGGGUAGGAGAGUGGGGAGGUGAGUAAGACCCCAUGGGGGUGUGAGUGCCUCUGAGGCAACCUAGAGUGGAGGUGGAGGGGGUGGCAGACCCUUAGGAAAUAAGCAUGACCCCUGGCUGGGUAAGGGCACCCACUAUGAGGGUAACAGUCACUCGUUCAUCCCACAACCAUUUUUGAUAUCUGUAGGUGUCAGGUACCAUGCUAGUUGAAGGAUAUAAUUGUGAACAAGUGAUGUGUGGGUCUUAGUGUCGAAGAGCUGACAUUGGAGGAUAUCAGAGACAAAAAUCAAGUAAGCAAAUACAGCAUUGUUAACUGCAGUAAGAACGAGGAGGACAGACACAGGCCCACAAGGAGGUCCGGGUGGCUCCUGGCAUCAGGGCCAUAUGUAGCUCAGCUUGGGGUUCAGGGUCCUAACUCCAGCUCUGGCAGGCUGGAGGAAGAGUCCCACAUCCAGAUGAAGUGGCACUUAUGGGUCUGAAAGAUAUAAGCCCGGGUCUAGGGGCUGAGUGGUCCUGUAUGCCAGGGGGCAUGCCAGGAGCUUCACCAUGUUAAUGUGCUUCAUCCAGAGAGGAAGCUGACCACCAGCAAUGCUUGUGAGACUGGCUGCUGGCUGCCUUCUUAUUCUCCUCUUGGGUCAGGGCUGACCCUCUGAUGGGGUGGGGCUGAGGCUGGCCAGCAGGGAGGCCAAGCUGUUGGAUCAGAGGAAGGCGAUGUCAGACACCAGCCCCUGUCACCCACCAGCUCUUCCCUUCCCAUUGUCCCUGGCUGGCCCUGGCCCAGCCUCUCCAGCAUCCUCAUUUGCCUCCCUGCCUCCGGCUCACCCUGCCCACAUAUCCACCAGGGGCUGCCGUUGUUUCUCUGAUUAGUUACUGUGUUGCUGCCAAAUUAAUGCUUCUAAACCAUAUUUUAUAACAGCAGCCUUCAUCUGCAGAGAAUCUUUGAAAAUACUUGGCUUGGCAUUUAAAGUGGUACAAAAAUGUGGCCUUACUGAAUUUUUACAGCUUUAUUUAUCCUUUCAGAGGUGCAUCCUGCACGUAUGUCAAACUGUGGGUCCUCAUCCCUCUGCCACACCUCUGCUCAGUUAUCUUUCUCUCCUUCAACCCCCCUCCCUGCCACCCUCCUGCAUCCCUCUGGGUAGUGAAACAGCCCCUUAUUCAGUCAGCCAGCCUUGCAUUCAGCAGGCUCUGCAGGCUCCCACUCUGUGCCCGCCAUUCCUGGGCAGCACUAGGACCCCCCCUGCUCUGACACCUCAUCCACUUGUUUUGUAAUCUUAUUAAUCUUCAUUUAUUAACUCCUGAAUGAGACCUUAUCCUUCUGCUCCUCUGAACUGUAACCCUUCAAUGGCAGAGGCUGCAUCUUGCCCAUUCCUUGGCCUCAUGGUUCCCUGCCUGUGGCAGGGGUCAAUAAAUGUGCUACAUGACCUGGACUAACAUGGGCUCUGGAAGGAAAGCACUAAAUACUGGCCUGGGGGCUGGAACUCAGUCUCAGCUCUGCCACUUAACUGCUGGAUAGUCUCUGGAACAUUACUGUCUUUUUCUGAGCCCCAGGAUCCCCAGCUAUAACAUGCGGCUGCCAUCCGUGUCUUGGUUACCUUACUAGGCUAAGGUGGGAGACUGCAGGUGCGGGCUGUUAUUAUAAGGGUUUUCCCUGAGGGUGGGGUGUGUACUGGGGCAGGGGGAGAUAUUGUGUUUCUUGGUGCCUCUUGGCCAUAAGACCUGAGCAAAGCCAGCAUGAAGCCCCUCCACAACCCUCAGAUGGCAACCCAGGGGGUUAAGGCGGGGGGGAUGUGAGGCAAUGGCCAGCAACCCCAUACACACCUGUUUAGGUGAGUUGCAGAUAAGGUGCUCUUAUGCUCCCAGGGCUUUCUGCCAGCAUUGAGGAGAAACAGGAGCUCUUCUCCAGCCAGGUGAACAUGGCCUCGCUUGGCAAGCUUGCAGUCCUACAUUCCGGUAGGUUACAGGCUGCUUCCAGUAACGCAGGGAAGCUGGGGAAGGAUGAGUUGGGACAUUUUAUUAUGGUGGACUAUCUGAGUGGAAAUGGAUAGCUGAGCCCUCUGAGGACCCGCAGCCUCAUUACCCAGAGGGGAAACCAAGGUUCACGCAGGAGAAGGGGCUUGUCCAAGGUCACUUUUGCAGUCUUGUCUCUAAGAAUAUGGAUUUUGGAGACAGGGAGAUUUGAAUUCUGCCACUUACUAGCUAUAAGAGCUUGAGCAAAUUUCAAGCCCUGAGGCUUAGUUUCUGCAAAUGUUAAUGAGGAAUCACAAUUCUGAUAUUUUAUUGCUAUGAAGAUUAGAGGAAAUGAUAGAUGAAGAGCUUGCUCCUGAGUGGCUGUUCAGGCCUCCAGCCCCAAGUCCCUAGGCAUAGGAUGAUGGGGGAACUGCUGAGAAGGGCCUUCUUGUUUCUCAGGCAACAAAACUGCCAAAGGCUUUAGGAGAGAAUCCUAGUGGGGUUUGGGUUGGGGGAACUCUGAUUUCAAGGAAGUGAGUGGCUUGGGAUCUGGUCCAGCCUUCCCGUCCUUUCCUUUCAUUCAUCUGCUCAUUCAUUCCACAGAUGUGGAUUAAGCAUCCACUCAGGGACAGAUUCUGUCCUGGAUGCUGCUCUAUCAAAGAGAACUAAAACCCAACUGCUCCCCACCCUAAAUGCUCACAGUCCAGUGGAGAAAGAGAGAGAGAGACAAGGCAAAGAGACACUGUCAGAGUGAAAUUGCUGUUAGAGGUGUGUGCAUGACACACGGGGAACCCUGAGGAAGUGGAGCUGCUGAAGAGUCAUGCUUCCUUUUUUUUUUUUUUUUUAACUGCAGAGCACUUUGUUAUGGUUGAGACCUACCUUUCUGUAUAAUUUUAUAACCUGCUAUUUCUUCUUAAAUUUUUUUUAGAAAUGAGGUCUCACUAUGUUGCCCAGGCUGGAG
rnacentral:lncRNA from 1 species